rnacentral:rRNA from 1 species
ACGGGGUGCAGCAGGCGCGAAAACUUUGCAAUAAGCGAAAGCUUGACAGGGCUAUCCCGAGUGCCAUCCGCUGAGGAAGGCUUUUACCCAGUCUAGUAAGCUGGGGGAAUAAGGAGAGGGCAAGUCUGGUGUCAGCCGCCGCGGUAAUACCAGCUCUCCGAGUGGUGUGGAUGUUUAUUGGGCCUAAAGCAUCCGUAGCUGGCUGAGUUAGUCCCCUGUUAAAUCCACCGAAUCAAUCGUUGGAUUGCGGGGGAUACUGCUCGGCUAGGGGACGGGAGAGGCAGACGGUAUUUCCGGGGUAGGGGUGAAAUCCUAUAAUCCCGGGAAGACCACCAGUGGCGAAGGCUGUCUGCUAGAACGCGCCCGACGGUGAGGGAUGAAAGCUGGGGGAGCGAACCGGAUUAGAUACCCGGGUAGUCCCAGCUGUAAACUAUGCAAACUCAGUGAUGCAUUGGCUUGUGGCCAAUGCAGUGCUGCAGGGAAGCCGUUAAGUUUGCCGCCUGGGAAGUACGUACGCAAGUAUGAAACUUAAAGGAAUUGGCGGGGGAGCAC